rnacentral:snoRNA from 1 species
UUGAAUCAUAGGAUGAUUUGCAAAAAGUAUAGUUCAUGUGACAGUGGGCUUACUACUCACCGGAUGAUAUUUAGUCAUUUCGCCCCUAUCUGAUGAUUCAU